GCAUCCGUGGUUUAGUGGUAAAAUUAACGCUUGCCAUAAGUUUCCUGACAGCGCCCCGCUUCAAGAUCCUGCAGCAACAUGUGUUAGCCCCGGGUUCGAUUCCCGGCGGAUGCA